rnacentral:lncRNA from 1 species
UGAAAUUUGAAAUUUUAGAGUAUUUCGAAAAAUCGGGACAUUUUCUAAUUUGUCGGGAUUCGGGAACACAUGUUAAAAAUCGGGAGAAUCCCGCCGAAUCCCGACCGUCUGGCAACCCUAGGUGCGAGCUGCGACGCUGCGAGUGCGCCACCAGUCCGCCAUCUUUCUUACCUUUUUGAUGGUUGUUGACUUGUAAAUUUUGUAAUUAGUUUUUGCCGACGUCCGUUUUUUAAGUAAUUUUUGGUAUUUUACAAAUUGUGUUACUUUAGUGGACACGUGGAGACAUGGACGCUGACUGUUGGAAGAAUUCGUCAAUUCAGACUGGCGCAAAGAGCUAUCAGGGCGCGAUGCCAGGAAUUUCAUUGCGAGACAGAAUUCGAAAUGAGGAUAUUCGCCAACGCAAUAAAGUUACCGACAUUGCAAAAAGGAUUAACUCAAGUGGGAAUGGACCGGCUAUAUUUUUCGCAGAGAUGACGAUCAAUGGGGUCGCCUAGUAUUGCUGUGGAGACCUAGCCUGGGUGGCCGAGGUGGCGGGAAACCACGAGCAGAUGGUCGGAUGACACAUAUAGAACGGAGUGGAAACCCACGGAAUGCAGACCAGGAUCAUAUACUUUAGGUAUGAGUUUGUUACUUUUGCUCAUAAUAACAUGGAGUAUGUCACGGCUGCUCCACGGGCUGCAUUGAAGGGCAACAGGAGCGAAAAUGUUAAAAUGGAAAGGAGCUCCCCCUUUCAAUUAGGGAAUCUUAGGAUAUGCUAAGGCAAACAGAAGGAGGCAAGGAACGGGACUGCAUCAAUUGCUGUCUGGAACCAAUCUUGUGGGAUGACUUCUGGACAGGGAAAAACAAUUUCAUCAUCUACCCUAAUACUGACGAAUGUUCUAAAACGUGCUGUAAGGCAGACAUUUCCAAAUGUAACGGAGGAAAGUUUCGAGACAUGUAAUGGUUUCAACAUGCUGCUGAGACCCAACUCAAGAGACGUCAGUUUGUACUGUUUAGUCCAUUCUCUAUUGGGCAUGCUUGUAUAGAGAGGUAUAUAUAUAUAUAUUGGAGUACAGACAUGGUGUUUGGUAUGAGUAUUAUAUACAUCCUUUUGAGUCAAAUAGGACCGGUAGCCACUUUGAACUCCGUGUCCGAAAGGGUCAAAGUAUGGAGCUCCCGGUACUCAGAAAAAAAUUCUGGCCUAUUAGUUUUGAACUUUCGAGUCAAGUUUGGUGUCAUUUUUAAACUGUUCGCUUCGUUUUUAAAUUGAAGAAGAUUAAAAAUCACAGUAAUAUUAUAAAGGCAAAAGUUUGUGAGCAUACCGUGUUUGUUACUUCCUCACGCCACGCCCAAGUGCCUUAACAAAUAUUAUUUAUAAAAUUAAGUAUGGAGGAAGUACGAUAUACCCUAAGUUAACACGUCGCUUCUUCUUGAUCGUGGGUAACACUCGGGGCGCAGUAUAAUGAUUAUUAAAAAUCUUUAUGCUGUCCCCUAUGCUGCGAUGGCGAUCGUUGCAGUACUUUCAAUAUUUUUUUUACAUCAAAUAUUAGAAUCAUCAAAGAUUACUAAUAAAAUAGGCUUUUUAGAAAUAUUUUUUAAAAAUCAUGAUUAGUAUAAAAAUACGGAAAUAUGAGGAUUUGUUUGCAUUUCGUGGCUACUAAAAAUUCAUUAUUAAUAAAUAUUGUGCUAUAUUUUGCUAUGGAACCCUAAAAAAGUAGUUACAUAAAAAUGACACUAAAAUUGACUCAAAGCUCAAACUAAUCGGCCAGAAUUUUUUUCUGAGCAGCAGGAGCUCCAUACUUUGACCCCCUCUCCCCCCUUCGGACACGGAGUUCAAAGUGGCUACCGGUCUUGUUUGACUCGGGAGGACGUGUAUAAUACCCAUGUAGAUGUAGAUGUAGUGUAGGGACGCCUGGCCGGAUACAGGCGGGCUGUCGAUCGCUGGUGCGUUCAUUCAGCCCAAUUCCCUGGAGUUGGAGCUGCAGGUUACUGUCCCGGCUGCCCUCCCACACUUCUCUCCUCAAAUUUUCUUGUUUUCCUGCAGAACAUAAUACCCAUACUAAACGCCAAUGCUCUACUCAAAAAUUCACUUUUUCCCAAUAGAGAACGGACUGUGUUAGACAGUGCAUGUUGUUACACGGUAAAUUUUUCUAGAAGACCAAAUUUAUAAGUUCCUUAGUUAUUCUAUUUUUAACUAAAUAAGUUCUUGUACUAUAAGCAGUAAUCGGAAUAGGCAGAGUAGAUAUAUUUAUUUUUAAACGAAAUGACUUCCUUGCGAUAGUAUUUUUUCAGUACAGAUGGUAUUUUUUUUACGCACUAGUGCGAGAAGUGGUUCAUUAUACGCCAGGUCGAAACUUCGGA